rnacentral:rRNA from 1 species
GUUAGAUUAGCUAGUUGGUGGGGUAACGGCCCACCAAGGCGACGAUCUAUAGCUGGUUUGAGAGGAUGAUCAGCCACACUGGGACUGAGACACGGCCCAGACUCCUACGGGAGGCAGCAGUGGGGAAUAUUGGACAAUGGGGGAAACCCUGAUCCAGCCAUGCCGCGUGAGUGAAGAAGGCCCUAGGGUUGUAAAGCUCUUUCAACUGAGACGAUGAUGACGGUAUCAGUACAAGAAGCCCCGGCUAACUUCGUGCCAGCAGCCGCGGUAAUGCGAAGGGGGCUAGCGUUGUUCGGAAUCACUGGGCGUA